CGGCUCAGUAACACGUGGAUAACCUACCCUUGAGACGGGGAUAAACCCGGGAAACUGGGUAUAAUACCCGAUAGAUCUCGACUGCUGGAAUGCAUCGAGCUUGAAAGCUCCGGCGCUCAAGGAUGGGUCUGCGGCCUAUCAGGUAGUAGUGGGUGUAGCGUACCUACUAGCCUACGACGGGUACGGGUUGUGAGAGCAAGAGCCCGGAGAUGGAUUCUGAGACACGAAUCCAGGCCCUACGGGGUGCAGCAGGCGCGAAAACUUUACAAUGCUGGAAACAGCGAUAAGGGGACCUCGAGUGCCAGGUUAUAAAUCUGGCUGUCGUGAUGCCUAAAAAGCAUUGCAUAGCAAGGGCCGGGCAAGACCGGUGCCAGCCGCCGCGGUAACACCGGCGGCUCGAAUGGUAACCGUUAUUAUUGGGUCUAAAGGGUCUGUAGCCGGCCGGAUAAGUCUCUUGGGAAAUCUGGCAGCUUAACUGUCAGGCUUUCAGGAGAUACUGUCUGGCUCGAGGCCGGGAGAGGUGAGAGGUACUUCAGGGGUAGGGGUGAAAUCUUGUAAUCCUUGAAGGACCACCAGUGGCGAAGGCGUCUCACCAGAACGGACCUGACGGCAAGGGACGAAAGCUAGG
rnacentral:rRNA from 1 species